ACGCCAAUUAGGAACAUAUUUGGCGCACAGCCGACGCGCCAAGGAAUUUUUUCAUGACUCCCACUCUCUCUCUCCCUCCCUCCGUCCGUAACUCCCCCCUUGCCUCUGCCUCUCUUUCUCAUUCUCAUGCCCUAGCUCUCUCCUCCGUCUAUCCCACUGCCGUCGGCGACCUCGUCGGCAUCAAGAAGCACUUCCGCUACUCAUCGUCAUCGUCCAUCCCACGACGUCGGUAUCAAGAAGCACUUCCGCUACUCCUCGUCAUCAUCCAUCCCACGACCUCCCCACUACCCUCGGCGACCUUGUCAGCCACAAGCAGUGGGUCUACGCCCGCUGCUCCAAGGCCUACACCGUCCAGUCUGACUACAAGGCCCUCGGCGCCCACAGCACUUGUGGCCACCCUGUGACUGUGGCCGCAUCUUCUCCCAUUGAGUGCGUUCCUUCUAUUUUUCUCUCGCGAAUGACCCCAUUGGAAGCUCGAUCUGUGUGAUACUUGACAAUGGUUCCCAGAUUGAAAUGCCGAACUAGGGCCAGCUCCAAACUUCCACAUAGACAGCCCAAUUCUACAGCUCCAAAUGAGCCACAGAGUCAGCCUAAUUCUACGGCUCCUAAUGAGCCAUCUGUGAUUUUGCCUCAACAAUCAUCAUCCAACUCACCCGAUAUUGAGUACGUAGAUCCACCUAGUAGGCCCAAUUCUACAGCACCAAAUGAGCCAGGUGCAAUACUUAAUGUGUCUAAUUCUGCACAAGAUUCUACAUCCAGGAGGAAGGGCCGUGGUCCUACAUGCAGUCUUUUGAGUAAAAUGAAAAAAGCACUAGAGCAAAUUGGAGAUUCAGAAUUUAAGAGAAGACGGGGAAGUAUCAAAAUGUGUACUUCGAAGGAUGCAAGCACAUGGUAAGGAUGCAAGGUCAACAUUACGAAAGCAUUAUUUGAAAUUCAGCUCUGAUGCAGAAGCAAGGUGAAAGAAACUGGUCAAUGUUUCUCAACAAAAUUGGGAUGAGCUGUGUGACUAUUGGUCUGAUCCUCAUGUGAAUGUCUAUCAUCUUCUACCCAAUUACUAUGUGGAAAUUUGUUCAAUCAAUGCUGCAAAUCGGGCAAAGGCAAAGAUGGUGCAUAAAACAGGAUCUAUGGCAUUUGUAGCAGUGCGACAUGAAAUUUUACUGCAAUUCAGCAGGUGUAUGAACAAACUCUUAUGCAGAGGAGUGUUAUAUAAGUCAACUAGGAGAAUCAAAAUUGGCCAAGUCUGAAUGAAAUAAUGAAAUGCAAAGGUUAUUGGCCGAGUCUGAAACUGAAGGAAACUCUAUGACUAUGGAUGAGAUUUGUGACAAAGUAUUAGAAAGAGAUCUGGAUACAUUAAAGGACUUGGGCAUGGUCCGAAGCCACAACAAGCCUCAAGUUCAAGUUUAAGCUCAAUCAACUUGGGGAACAAUUAAAAUAAUCUCGAUUGGAGAAUGACAAGUUGAAAGAGAAUGUAGAUGAACACAGAGACAGGUUGGAUCAGCAAGCACGAGUGAUUGAGAUGUUACUUGCUGCACAGGUCAAUCCUUAAGCAGACCGUUAUGAAAAGGUGCACUUAGAGAAGAUGGCAUUCAACAACAUGCCUUCAAUCUUUUGGGGUACAUUUACAGAAGAUUACCUGUCACUUGAAUUAUGUUUUGAGAGUGCUAGCUGUCUUCUACAUGGAGUUUCAUCAGCAUCCAAAUUUUGUUGCUGAUUUUGGGCUAACAAGAUCUACUGAAGUUGGCCUACGCAUGCUUUUGGAAUAUUUGGUUACUUUAUUUUGUGAAGAAUCAGUGAUUGUAUUUUUUGAUGUCAACAGCUGCCUACGAUGAUAGUUUGGAUAUUGUAGCCAAAUAUUUUGUUCAUUUUGGAUUAUUGUAUAUAUUAACAAAUUUAUAUUCAGAAUUAGAAGUAUUUGGAUGUUCUUCACUUAUUAACUUUGUCAAAUUUGAUUGAUUUUGCGGAUUUUUAGUGGUAAAGAGUUCAUAGCAGUGA